GAGCGCCGUAGCAAUACGGAGCGGCAGACGGGAGAGUACACGUGGGAACGUGCCCUUCAGUUCGGAACAACCCAGGGAAACUUGGGCUAAUACCGGAUACGUCCGUAAGGAGAAAGAUUUAUCGCUGAAGGAUCGGCCCGCGUCUGAUUAGCUAGUUGGUGGGGUAACGGCCUACCAAGGCGACGAUCAGUAGCUGGUCUGAGAGGAUGAUCAGCCUCACUGGGACUGAGACACGGCCCAUACUCCUACGGGAGGCAGCAGUGGGGAAUAUUGGACAAUGGGCGCAAGCCUGAUCCAGCCAUGCCGCGUGGGUGAUGAAGGCCUUAGGGUUGUAAAGCCCUUUCGGCGGGGAAGAUAAUGACGGUACCCGCAGAAGAAGCCCCGGCUAACUUCGUGCCAGCAGCCGCGGUAAU
rnacentral:rRNA from 1 species